GAUGAAGAACGUAGUGAAAUGCGAUACUUGGUGUGAAUUGCAGAAUCCCGUGAACCAUCGAGUCUUUGAACGCAAGUUGCGCCUCAAGCCGUUAGGUUGAGGGCACGUCUGCCUGGGCGUCACAUAUCGUUGCCUGAUGCCAGUUUCCUCGUGAUGGGUGACUGUGCAGGGCGAAUGAUGGCUUCCCGUGAGCAUUGUUGCCUCAUGGUUGGUUGAAAAUUGAGUCCUUGGUAGGGAGCGCCGUGAUAGAUGGUGGUUGAGUGACGAACGAGACCCAAUCAUGUGAGACCCCUACCGAAUUUGGCCUUCAUGACCCACAUGCGUCUUUGGAACGCUCAUGACGAGACCUCAGGUCAGGCGGGGCUACCCGCUGAGUUUAAGCAUAUCAAUAAGCGGAGGA
rnacentral:misc_RNA from 1 species